GACAUUUGUAAUGACCCUUGAACAAAACUGAGUAAAACGGAAUUAAAGAUUUGACAAGGGAAAGAGAGCGGAAACAGAAGCACUAAUUAUGGCCCUGUGAAGUACACUUUUGCUUUUUUUGCACCAGUUGCAAGAGAAUCACCUACUUGUUCAAGAAUACUUGCUCAGUGUAACUUUUUAAUACAUUAAGUGAAGGAAAAGUUGUGCCUUUCAGUUUUUGGGGCAAAUGAACAGGUGUCAUAUAAAUGAACAUUCAUGCAAGACCAUGGAGUUGGACCUAUGAUGCUAUGUGAACAAUAACCCAUGAAUAUGAUGCAAAGAAUCGUAAUUUAAUUCAUGGUACAUGAAAGGAAAAGCACAUCAGUUAUUUAGAAAAUCCACCACAAUCCUGAUAAAACUGCAGCAGAAAACUAAAACUACAGGACCUUCUAAACACUGAAUCUACAGUUAUGUUUUAUCAAUAAUGAAUUGCUAGUGUUGCAUAAAGGGGAUUCCACUCAUAUAUCAACCUUUUUGACUUAUUAUAAAUCCUUUGUUGAAAUUAUUGUGGCUGGUUCAAUAAUUCAGAUUAGACCUCAUGUUUAUUAAUGCACUACAUCUGUGCAAACAACAUGUCAAGCAGAGAGUUUAUUGUAAUUGCCUGAGCAAACAGAACCUGAAAGAAGCAAUUUCCAGUUACAAUGUGCUAUGACAAGUAAUGGGGUAAUUGGCAUUCUGUCCUGAUUACUUCCACCUUCCUUUUCAUCAGGUCUAUAUUGAACGUGAUAGAUAGAUUUAUAGGAAGCGAAGGUGUUUGAUAAUAUAGUUUACUGUUUUAUAGGUUAGUUAUUAAAGACAAUCAUCAUUUUGUCUAGGAGAUCUUAUUAGUUUCAGUAUUAUUUAUUCAUAUGCGUAACACAUGGGAGCAGAACUUUCUCACUGAAUCAACAUGGAAGCUGAAUAGUCAACAUACUACAAGUGAUCAAAUGAAUACUGUUAUUAACAUUUGCUCUCUCUAUCUUUAUUUAAAUCUUCAGAAAUAUAUAUACGUCUCCCUCUUCUGCUGGUGUGGGAAGCCCUGCACUUAUUUCCUUUUUUGGUGCUACAGGGGUCUUGUGUCCCAGCUAUAUAAAGCAGGUGUAACUGUAUAUUGGCAUGCUUGCACCCAGAGUCAGGACACACUAUGCUGUAAUACCCCUUUUUGGAAACCUCUCCACCACAAGAUAGAGAAGUUUAUUUGCAGGAAAGCUGUAGACUUUCAACAUGCAGUUCUGCCAGCCUGGAGUCCCUUAACAAAGGAAUUCAGCAUAUUUGAUCUAUGACCUGAUGAGAAUCCCCAAUGAAGUUGCAGCUUCUUCAGAGUUCUUAAAAAACUCCCUUUGGUUUUCCAUGACCUGAAAAAAGCAUGUUUUCCUGCUUUAGAGGUUUUAUGUUUACCUUAGACGUAACAUCUUUACAGAAUCACUUGUCUCCACCUGCUUCUCCUUUCAGUACUUCCUGUUUCCCUCUGCAGGCUUUCCUUCCUGUUACCUCGCAGCGGUGGGGACUCCUCCCCUUUCCUGCACAGAAACAACUGCUCCAUCACAGAGAGUAACACAGAGAAUGGAAUAGGUGUCCCCUGACUCCC